GCCGGGGUGGUGUAAUGGUAGCCACGAGAGACUUAAAAUUUCUUGGUCGCAAGACCGUGUGGGUUCAAGUCCCACCCCCGGCA
rnacentral:tRNA from 1 species